AUUGAACGCUGGCGGCAGGCCUAACACAUGCAAGUCGAACGAGUGGCGGACGGGUGAGUAAUGUCUGGGCACCUGCCUGAUGGAGGGGGAUAACUACUGGAAACGGUAGCUAAUACCGCAUACCAUCAGAUGUGCCCAGAUGGGAUUAGCUAGUUGGUGGGGUAACGGCUCACCACGGCGCAGAUCACUAGCUGGUCUGAGAGGAUGACCAGCAAAACUGGAACUGAGACACGGUCCAGACUCCUACGGGAGGCAGCAGUGGGGAAUAUUGCACAAUGGGUGCAAGCCUGAUGCAGCCAUGCCGCGUGUAUGAAGAAGGCCGUCGGGUUGUAAAGUACUUUCAGCGGGGAGGCGUUACCCGCAGAAGAAGCACCGGCUAACUCCGUGCCAGCAGCCGCGGUAAUUC
rnacentral:rRNA from 1 species